GAUGAACGCUGGCGGCGUGCCUAAUACAUGCCAGUCGAGCGAACGGACGAGAAUCUUGCUUCUCUGAUGUUAGCGGCGGACGAGUGAGUAACACGUGGAUAACCUACCUAUAAGACUGGGAUAACUUCGGGAACCCGGAGCUAACACCGGAUAAUAUUUUGAACCGCAUGGUUCAAAAGUGAAAGACGGACUUGCUGUCACUUAUAGAUGUAUCCGCGCUGCAUUAGCUAGUUGGUAGGGUAACGGCUUACCAAGGCAACGAUGCAUAGCCGACCUGAGAGGGUGAUCAGCCACACUGGAACUGAGACACGGUCCAGACUCCUACGGGAGGCAGCAGUAGGGAAUCUUCCGCAAUGGGCGAAAGCCUGACGGAGCAACGCCGCGUGAGUGAUGAAGGUCUUCGGAUCGUAAAACUCUGUUAGUAGGGAAGAACAUAUGUGUAAGUAACUGUGCACAUCUUGACGGUACCUAAUCAGAAAGCAACGGCUAACUACGUG
rnacentral:rRNA from 1 species